CCCGUAAUCCGGGUUGCGGACAGUGUCUGGUGGGUAGUUUGACUGGGGCGGUCUCCUCCUAAAGAGUAACGGAGGAGCACGAAGGUUGGCUAAUCCUGGUCGGACAUCAGGAGGUUAGUGCAAUGGCAUAAGCCAGCUUGACUGCGAGCGUGACGGCGCGAGCAGGUGCGAAAGCAGGUCAUAGUGAUCCGGUGGUUCUGAAUGGAAGGGCCAUCGCUCAACGGAUAAAAGGUACUCCGGGGAUAACAGGCUGAUACCGCCCAAGAGUUCAUAUCGACGGCGGUGUUUGGCACCUCGAUGUCGGCUCAUCACAUCCUGGGGCUGAAGUAGGUCCCAAGGGUAUGGCUGUUCGCCAUUUAAAGUGGUACGCGAGCUGGGUUUAGAACGUCGUGAGACAGUUCGGUCCCUAUCUGCCGUGGGCGCUGGAGAACUGAGGGGGGCUGCUCCUAGUACGAGAGGACCGGAGUGGACGCAUCACUGGUGUUCGGGUUGUCAUGCCAAUGGCACUGCCCGGUAGCUAAAUGCGGAAGAGAUAAGUGCUGAAAGCAUCUAAGCACGAAACUUGCCCCGAGAUGAGUUCUCCCUGAGACUUUAGGUCUCCUGAAGGAACGUU
rnacentral:rRNA from 1 species